GAAUACGCAUUCCAUUGGCAAGCAAGGAUUAUGGGACCUUCAACAGUCCUUGUUCUGGAGGUGUAUUUUUUGGUUUCCAUUCAUUUUCCUCUCGAUUACCCUUUUAUAUGCUUGUAUCCUCUACAUUAGUUGUAUAGUAACUUCCCAUCUUUGAGUCAUUUGCUCACUUGUAUUUUGAUCGACUCUAAUAGUGAAAAGCAGAUAACUGUGCAUAGGAAGAUUUCUUUCUCUUACUAGGUGUCGAAACCCUUCUUACCUUAUCAGUUUCUAAGCUAAACGAUAUAAAAAUAUUAUAAUAUGGAAUGAUUUACCCUAUCCCCAAGUGCAAUUUUGCAGAAUAAGUUUACGAGUUCAUUCUCUUCUUGUCUGGUUCUUUUUCUUGCUGCGUUUCGCAAAAUGAUUUCCUGAAAUUUCAACUUCUUUUCCCAUGGAAGUUCUUUGAAUAGGUAGAUGUUGAGCACAUGAACUAUAUAUUUGUGUCCAUUGUUGAAACUCUAUGAAUAUCAUUGGUAAUUACUCAGAACAAUAAUGCAAAAAUUUUUAUUUAGUAUCUUGUUGAAAAGAGUUUGUUUUCCCCUAUCCUUGGAGAGCUUGUGGUUCUUCAAAAUAGUUAUUGUUUCCAUGGAGAUUAUGUUGAUGAACUCUGUGACCCAAAUAGCCGAUUUAUUCUUUGUUUCUGGUUGCUUUUACAACAAAAAGUUUUCCACCCAACAUCAAUAGCAAUGGAAGCAUUUGCCUUGAUAUUCUUAAAGGUACAAUCAUGCUACAUGUGCAUCAUUCUGUACACCUUGGUUUGUAUUCUUCCUCAUGGAACCAUCUUCCUUUGAUUUUCCCAGCAAUCUUUCACAUCAUUGUCCAUAUUGUGCUACAUAGUGGGAAUGUCAUCCAUGGUGCAAGGGAAAAUGUACAUCUAGCAUUAUUGAUCUAAGGUAAUUAAUUUUUUUUUGUUAUAAUAAUGAGAUGACAUCAUUUAAUGAAUUGUGGCUAUACACGUUCAAACUUGGACUAAAUUAAUUUUAAUGUAUGGGUUUCCACACUUGAUAUAUCAUACAUUAUUGUCUGUGUUCGCGUUCCCAUUUAUGACUGGUUCCACAGUCUUAUGCAUUGGCUUCAUCAUUUAGCUAUGUAACAGAUUACAAUGUAUGCUCGGGAUUCAUUU
rnacentral:lncRNA from 1 species